UGACUGGUUUUCAUGAGGUAAAUGGGGGUCACACCAGAUACUGACUGGUUUUCAUGAGGUAAAUGGGGGUCACACCAGAUACUGACUGGUUUUCAUGAGGUAAAUGGGGGUCACACCAGAUACUGACUGGUUUUCAUGAGCUAAAUGGUCACACCAGAUACUGACUGGUUUUUAUGAGGUAAAUGGGGG